rnacentral:rRNA from 1 species
AUACGUAGGGUGCAAGCGUUGUCCGGAAUUAUUGGGCGUAAAGAGCUCGUAGGCGGUCUGUCGCGUCGGCUGUGAAAUCUCGGGGCUCAACCCCGAGCCUGCAGUGGGUACGGGCAGACUAGAGUGCGGUAGGGGAGAUUGGAAUUCCUGGUGUAGCGGUGGAAUGCGCAGAUAUCAGGAGGAACACCGAUGGCGAAGGCAGAUCUCUGGGCCGUAACUGACGCUGAGGAGCGAAAGCGUGGGGAGCGAACAGG